UCCGUCUCCUCAUCUACCUGAAGGGGAAUUUUUCUCUAUCAACUUUAGGGGAAUCAGAUCUUCUUCUUCUUCAGUUUUCACCUUCCCCUCUCUCUGAAAAAGAUUGAAAUUUCAUAAUUGGAAUCAUAAGAGCGAACUUAGUAGCAAAACAAGUAAUUUGUCUGUUGAUGUUGUUGGAAAGUUAGGGUUAAUAAUUUCAGAAGUAGAGUUCUCCGUAUUGAAGUUUAGGGAUUUUUCCAAAUCUCUUUAUAAUGUGAAAUUUUCUAUACUUUGAAACAUGGGUAGUUAGUAAUUUAUCUCCAUGGUAUGAAAUACGUUAUGUGAGUGGGAAGCUAAGAGAUGUAGUAGCAAAUAUGUAGAAAUGGAGUUGGUACGCGCUUGUAUCAUCUUUGACCGUAAUUAGAGCUUACAAAGAAAAAUGAAAAAUCCUUCGAUGGAUGAGGUGCAUGUAAACUGUUUGGUUUCUCGUAUCUGUAUAUAUUGCAAUAGAAUACUGAUUUGAGGCUUUAAUAUGUGUUUUCUUCUCUACUCCAUUAAAACUUACCAAGAGUGAGAGAUGCAUUGAUGUUUAGUUCAAAGAAGGAGGACAACAAAAUUUGAUUAUGUGUUAAAGCUAACAAUGGAAUCGCAUUGGUUUUGCUUGGGGUUCUUGGGAAAUUGUAAAGAUGGAAGCUGUCCUAUGGUGUUGAUCAUGUGGCUGUAGAUAAUCAUGCUCAUCUUGGCUUUGUCCAGCUGUGAUGAUCGUUUGGUUCCCAUGACGAAUGGUUCCGUUGUUGCAUUUUCGGAUUACAAAUGAACACAAUUUUUACUUGAGUGGCGUAUCAGAGAGUUGGAGCUUGCCAAGCGGGUCGUAACCCGACCCCUUGGGAGCGAAAAUUCUCUGGUCCGUCACAAGGAUCGUAUAGUGAGAUCCCGGAUCAAUGUAGACUCCAAGGAAAUGGAAGAAAGACCCAGAAGUAAGGACUACAGGAUGUUAACGCUCCUUGUGUCAUAAAUUUUCCCAUGCAAAUUAGGAUCACAAGACCAAGGAUUGUUAUUUCUUUUCAGAAUUUUGCUCCAUCGAUUGACGAUAUUCAACUUGUUCCCGGGCAAACAAUUCAGGAAUCCAGCACUGAUGAAGAAGUCGAUAUACGCAGCAUGUCAUGUUAAUGAAGCGCACUCUUCUUUGGAACAUGGGAAUAUGGAGAAUUUCCAAAAUCCCGAACCAAAUGGAGAUAACAGCAUUGCCAAUGGAGAUUCCGGCAUUGUCGAGCCCUCAAAUGAUUUAGAGACUCCCCGGAUAAGUACAUCUCUUGUAAUUUCUUCAUGUAAGUAUGAAAUUUCUGAUUUAUGAAUGAAUGAAUGAGAAUCCAUGUGAGUAUACGAGUAAUUUUGCUGAAAUACGUCACCAGAAAAUUUCAGACUUCAACAUUUUAGUAAAAACACUGUAUAAUCCUCGUCCGGAUUCGGAUUUUUGCGGUCUGCAUAUGUAUCUUCAAGCCCAGGAAAUUUCCAAGCUUUUGUGAAGAAAUUUUUUGAGUUUUGAGCAUGUCUAGGGCCUGA